rnacentral:rRNA from 1 species
AUGCUGGGAACAGCGAUGCGGGAAUUCCAAGUGCCGGCACUAAGUGUCGGCUGUUCCAUUGUCUAAAAAACAUAGGAAGUAAGGGCUGGGUAAGACGGGUGCCAGCCGCCGCGGUAAUACCUGCAGCCCGAGUGGUGGCCGUUAUUAUUGGGCCUAAAACGUCCGUAGCCGGUUGGGUAGAUGCCUGUGUAAAUCGAACGGCUUAACCGUUCGAACUGCGGGUAGACCGCCCGACUAGGGACCGGGAGAGUCACGAAGUACUCCGGGGGUAGAGGUGAAAUUCUGUAAUCCUCGGGGGACUACCGGUGGCGAAGGCGUCGUGAUAGAACGGCUCCGACGGUGAGGGACGAAGCCCUGGGGCGCAAACCGGAUUAGAUACCCCGGUAGUCC